GAGGGUAUAGCUCAAGUGGUAGAGCACAUGCUUAGCAAUGCAUGAGGUCCUGGGUUCAAUCCCCAGCGCCUCCU
rnacentral:tRNA from 1 species